UGGGGAAUUUUGGACAAUGGGCGAAAGCCUGAUCCAGCCAUGCCGCGUGAGUGAAGAAGGCCUUCGGGUUGUAAAGCUCUUUUAGUCGGAAAGAAAGAGUUGCAAUGAAUAAUCGUGAUUUAUGACGGUACCGACAGAAAAAGCACCGGCUAACUACGUGCCAGCAGCCGCGGUAAUACGUAGGGUGCGAGCGUUAAUCGGAAUUACUGGGCGUAAAGGGUGCGCAGGCGGUCUUGCAAGUCAGAUGUGAAAGCCCCGGGCUUAACCUGGGAAUUGCGUUUGAAACUACAAGGCUAGAGUGCAGCAGAGGGGAGUGGAAUUCCAUGUGUAGCAGUGAAAUGCGUAGAGAUGUGGAAGAACACCGAUGGCGAAGGCAGCUCCCUGGGUUGACACUGACGCUCAUGCACGAAAGCGUGGGGAGCAAACA
rnacentral:rRNA from 1 species